GCCUGAUACGGAUGUAAUAAUAAUAUCUUGGAAGCAAGUCUAGUUGGUGGGUAAACAUAUAUUAGUGUAAGAAGUAUUUAUUAGAUGUUACAACUUUGACAGUUUUUUUUUCCAGAAUUUGGUUGCAGGUAUCUCAUGCAAGAGUUGAUUUCUCUCUACCUCUUUCUGCGUUAGUGAUGGUUAUGGGAGUUAUUGUUCCUGGGCUUUAUUGAAUGAGAUUCAUCAUUCUUUUCUUGUCAUUUCAGACAUGUAACAGUUUUCAGUCCAGUAAGCUUUUCAUUGCGUUCUACAGUGUGGAUCACUGAUCUUUUGUUUGAAUUGUUGCAGAUGUUGGUGAUAUCCUUACCGUUUCGUGCGGGGUGACGGCUAUUGGUGGUUAUUACCCUUUGUCAUUUCGUGUGGUGGUGAUAUCCAGUUUACAGCUUUAUGCUGGGACAGCUAUAUGCUGGGUUUACAGUACGGGUGCUACCACGUCUUGCCCCGGGGGCGUAGGAUACCGUACUGGGUUUACCGCCGAGUGCAGGGUUUAGUGUGGGUGCGACCACGUCUUGCCUGGGGGACGUAGGUUACGGCCGAGUGUCGGGUUUCACCACUCGAGUGUCGGGUUUACCACCAAUGCCGAGUUCGACUGCUGAGUGCCAGGUUUUACCACCGAGUGCGGGGUUUACCGCCGAGUGUCGGGUUUUACCGCCGAGUACGGGUUUUACCACCGAGUGUGGGGUUUUACGACCGAGAGCCGGGUUUCACCGCCGAGGGCGGGGUUUUACGGCCGAGUGCCAGGUUUUCGGCUACGAGCCGGGUUUUACCGCCGAGGGCUUAAUUUUGGACUAGCAUCAUCUGCAUUGUUCUGCACACCAUAUCAUUUAAACAAAGUUCUACCACGUACCUAAACUGGAAGACAAAAAUGAUUUAUUAGUAUAGCUGAGUAGCUCAAAAGUAAACUGGAAAUUAAAAAAAGGAUAGCAGCCAACGGAAACCCAUUGGCUAGAUUGAGCAUUGUAAAUAGUAAUGUUUAUCAUAAUUUCAUCUGUCCAAAACAAGGGGAAAGACUCCCCCUUAGGAAACAAGGCAAUUCUAAAAAUCCAACAUUUGUUUUUGUUCUUAGGGUCGACGCCUCAAUAGUUUGCAAAGAACCAUAGCAGUUACUAUACCGGUUGCAGCCAGCAAGAGCAACGAAGGCCAAUCCAGUUCCUCCGAGAGUUUUAAUGGCUCACCAAGAAAAGGCAGUGGGUGACUACAGAUGGGACACACAAGCUUACGAUUCACCUGCAAAAGCUGAACAAGGCAAUCUACAUGAAGUACGUGCAAGCAAGGCAAGCGUGUAAUCCCUUCUUCUGCAUCAUAAACGUGAUCAAGCCUCUCACGACAACCAAAACACGACUCCUGUGUAACGGUGGAUUCCAAACUAUCAGGUCUCUCUCUCUGUUAAGAAGGAGGCGAUAAGUUGAUUCAGUUGGACGAGCCACAGACUUGCCCAAUACUUUAACAGCGACUUCCGUUAUUAUGACAGUGAUAGGCAACCCGUAGUCAUCACCCACUUCAAUAACGUCAUACAUAACUUGAUAUAUCUGUCGAAUAACUUGCCCGCAUACAUAAUCUGGGAAGCCAAGGGUGAAAACAUAACCGGCAAUGAUCUCCGAAUACACAUCCCUUCUUGCUCUGGCAUCUGAGAUAGGGACCAUGAAGCGCCUUUCGCUCACGAAGUUGGGUUUUCCAACAAGUUUGAUUGGGGAAUGGAUGGAGAGACGGGUUGCGGAUCGGUCAAAGCGCUGUAAAUGGAUGUGGAUCAUGUUGGCACUGCGUGGGUCAAACAGACGACGAAAGGGAUGAGUUAGCCUGAAGAACACAUAUUUGAGCAGAGCAUUGCUUCCUUNNNNNNNNNNNNNNNNNNNNGAUAUGAAAUUGAGAAGGAUUGACAUAUUCCUUUAAUAAGGUUAAAGUAAAUAUGAGGAUACAAGUUAUUGUGCAAAAGUGAUUUAUCUUUGAUGUGAAAAUUUUUACAAACAAGGUGCUUGUUUGGGUCUUCUAUUGUUUCGAAGCAAGGCAAUUGCCAGGAACUAUUCACAUAAUUUCAGUUAAGGUGUAGCUUGGUAUCUAUAUAUUGUGUUUGAAUAUGACCAACUCGGUAUGUGAAUGAAUUAUCUAUAUCCAAAUAAGAUUUCCUUUCUCUUGUCAGUUUUAGUUAUCAUGUUUUAUACAUUCAGCAUGUUGAAGGCCUAUUUAAUAAAGGUGGUUCCUCUCUUUUAGUUUUGUUCUAUACACAAAAUGAUGAAAUACGCAGCAAGUGUGAGUUUGAGAGAAUGCAGCAUGUAUAUUGGAUCAGGUUCCUCAUACUGACUAAUCAGUUGGCUUCUAUAAAUGUCAUAGAGUUGCAUAUAUGGCUUUGUUUAGAUUUUUGAAACUUACUUGUAUAUAAAUGUUUGGUCUCAAGUAUAUGGGAAUGCACCCUCACACAUAUCCUAUGUUCUCAUCUUAUAGAAAUUUUCAGCAAGAUGACAAGCAUGCCUAUUAUACAUAUAUGUUCAUGCUUGUGUAUGUGUAAUAGGUUCGUGGAAGCCUGAUACGGAUGUAAUAAUAAUAUCUUGGAAGCAAGUCUAGUUGGUGGGUAAACAUAUAUUAGUGUAAGAAGUAUUUAUUAGAUGUUACAACUUUGACAGUUUUUUUUCCAGAAUUUGGUUGCAGGUAUCUCAUGCAAGAGUUGAUUUCUCUCUACCUCUUUCUGCGUUAGUGAUGGUUAUGGGAGUUAUUGUUCCCAGGCUUUAUUGAAUGAGAUUCAUCAUUCUUUUCUUGUCAUUUCAGACAUGUAACAGUUUUCAGUCCAGUAAGCUUUUCAUUGCGUUCUACAGUGUGGAUCACUGAUCUUUUGUUUGAAUUGUUGCAGAUGUUGGUGAUAUCCUUACCGUUUCGUGCGGGGUGACGGCUAUUGACGGUUAUUACCCUUUGUCAUUUCGUGUGGUGGUGAUAUUCAGUUUACAGCUUUAUGCUGGGACAACUAUAUGCUGGGUUUACAGUAUGGGUGCCACCACAUCUUGCCCCGGGGGCGUAGGAUACCGUACUGGGUUUACCGCCGAGUGCGGGGUUUAGUGUGGGUGCGACCACGUCUUGCUUGGGGGACGUAGGGUUACCACAUUGGUUACGGCCGAGUGCCGGGUUUCACCACUCGAGUGUUGGGUUUACCGCCAAUGUCGAGUUCGACUGCUGAGUGUCGGGUUUUACCGCCGAGUGCAGGGUUUACCGCUGAGUGUCGGGUUUUACCGCCGAGUGCGGGUUUUACCACUGAGUGUGGGGUUUUACGGCUGAGUGCCGGGUUUUCGGCUACGAGCCGGGUUUUACCGCCGAGUGCAGGGUGGUUCACAGCUGAAUGUGGAUUCUACUGCUAUGUGCAAAGUUUUUCUGAGUGUUUUUGAGGGGUUUUGAGACGUAUCGGGGUUAACCGAUAACAAAGAGGAAAAAGAACAAACGUAUGUAUUUGCUACUUGAAUGACAUUGGUCAGUUAUGAUCAUAAGAACAGAUCUUGUCAUACAUCUGUGAGUUUGUGCUCGGGAUUAGGUAUGUUCAAUUUGAUGUUUAUGCAUUGAUGAGCACGGUCAAUUACAAUUGCAAAUCAUAUCAAGUAAGCUGCUAAAUUGAGUGAUGCUUAACACUGAUAUGGCAGCUAAAUUUCUUUCCUGAGUGAAUAAUAACGGUUAAAUAGUGCAAUAGAGGCAAUUGAAGUUUGAUUUGCUUGUUAAUCAAGUGUAAAGCGAUAUGAUUAUUGAAGUUUGAUUUGCUUGUUAAUCAAGUGUAAAACGAUAUGAUACUUUAGGCAUGAAUAUGAAAGUAUAAAAGUAACAGAGGAUGUAUAUGGCAUGAGUUUGAAAGGCGGGCUUGGCUAUAUGGGUACAUGUCUAAUGUAAUUAUGUAAGUAUAAGGGAUACUGGAAGAAAGCAAUUCGAGAUACUGUUUCCGUCAGUGUUGAUGUUGGACUGGAGCAUGAACAACGAACACCCAACUUAUUACAUAUAUUUCAAGAUUGCUCAUACAAGUUUAGAUAAACGGGUGCUUAUGUAUCUACUGAUUUGUUCAUUUAAACGCAUAGUUAAGUUCUAUGGGGUUGUCAUGCCUUAGUGUACCCUGUUUUAGGAAGGUUGAAACUCUAGUGGCUGGAAAUUUCGAGGCGAAAUUUCCUUAAGGUGGUGGGUUUGUAAUACCCGGAUAAUUUAGAAAUAAUAAAUAAAUACUUUAUAUAUUUAAAAUAAAAUAAUAAUAAUAAUAAAAAUAAAUUUUUUUUUGAAAUAAUAAUAAUAAAAAUAAAUUUUUUUUAUGGAAAGGUCGAGAAGAUUUGAGAAAAAGGAGGAAGGAGAGAAUGAGACCAACCUUCUCAAUUAUAGGUUUGAACGACCUCAUCUUUUGAGGGGGAUCGGAGAACUCUCUCCUCCAGAGAGAGAGAGAGCCACGGAAGGACCUGUUCUUGGACACAUCGACUGGGUUUGGUCAGCAACCACAGUCAGGUCCGGCCUCACCUCGGCGACGAACUAUAUCGAUUAGGAGCCCUCUGAC
rnacentral:lncRNA from 1 species